rnacentral:lncRNA from 1 species
CACAUUGUAGGGUGUUUUAAGUGGACAACCAGAACCUUGUCAGGAUGUUUCUAGCAAGACUAACUUCUGAGUCAGCACAUCGACUGCCCUCUGUGGAUCCAAUAACUUUAACUUCAUGGCUGGGCAAAGGGCCAACCAGGAAGCAGGAUAACACAUCUAUCAACAGACAGUUGUGGAAGAAACAAAUCAGCUUAAAGAUGUAAACUCUCAUUUGAGACGAAUUCUGGAGAGUUUUCUAAACCUCCCAACGAUGUGUCUUUCGACACGUUUUCUAUAAGGAAGUAUAAUGAAUGAAUAUUGGGAUAUCUAGAGCAAACCUAAUUUUUGGAUGUUUGGAAACAAAUUCAGGUGGGACUGAGUUUUUUGAGAUGGUAAAUCCACGGAGCAUUCGUGCCCAGAAUGGAUGGAUGGAUGCACACAUGGCAAAAGCAAUGGUUCAGUGUCCAGGUUUUCGGAACAGCCCCAGAGCCUUUCGGUGCUUAUUUAAUGUUAAAAGAAAAUCCCAAAUUUUCCAGUACGGAAAAGUCUAAUUCCGGUCUCCAAACCUGAGCCCUGCCGUGACCCGUGGCUUGGGGUUUUGCUUAUGACCAGCUUACCAAUGGAAAAGCUAGUGAUAAUAAAGAUUUCGGUUGGUUCUCUUUGGAUAAUUCUACUGCACACAGCAAGACAUCGAGGCAUUUCAAGGCAUAGAGGAAAGAAAGCAACAGCCCCACACUCAGCUUUUAAGGCAUUUGGUGAAGUAGACGACACAGUGGUAGAGAAAAGAGGGGACAGGAG